CCCUUAGAUGUUCUGGGCUGCACGCGCGCUACACUGAAGCUAUCAACACGUUUUCCCUCCCUGAGAAGGGCGGGUAACCUUUUGAAUCAGCUUCGUGGUAGGGAUCGGGGCUUGCAAUUGUUCCCCGUGAACCAGGAAUUCCUAGUAGACGCGAGUCAUAAGCUCGCAUCGAUUAAGUCCCUGCCCUUUGUACACACCGCCCGUCGCUGCUACCGAUUGAACGUUUUAGUGAGGCAUUUGGACCGACGCAUCUCAGUUUAACCGCUGGUUUGUGUUGGAAAGACUUCCAAACUUGAGCGUUUAGAGGAAGUAAAAGUCGUAACA
rnacentral:rRNA from 1 species